rnacentral:rRNA from 1 species
UACGGAAGGCAGCAGUGGGGAAUAUUGCACAAUGGGCGAAAGCCUGAUGCAGCUAUGCCGCGUGUAUGAAGAAGGCCUUAGGGUUGUAAAGUACUUUCAUCGGGGAGGAAAAACAAAACUAAUAAUUUUAUUUCUUGACGUUACCCGAAAAAGAAGCACCGGCUAACUCCGUGCCAGCAGCCGCGGUAAUACGGAGGGUGCUAGCGUUAAUCAGAAUUACUGGGCGUAAAGAGCACGUAGGUGGUUUUUUUAAGUCAGAUGUGAAUCCCUGGGCUUAACCUAGGAACUGCAUUUUGAAACUGAAAUACUAGAGUAUCGUAGAGGGAGGUAGAAUUCUAGGUGUAGCGGUGAAAUGCGUAGAUAUCUGGAGGAAUACCUGUGGCGAAAGCGGCCUCCUAAACGAAUACUGACACUGAGGUGCGAAAGCGUGGGGAGCAAACAGGGAUUAGAUA